rnacentral:misc_RNA from 1 species
CUUUAUUUUUGUUCAAUUCUUUCUUUGAAUCACAUAUCCUGAGUGCAAGAUGGGUUGUUGUAGCAGCAAGGAGAAGCCUUCAAAAUCAGAGGCUAAUAAAGGGUACAGGUUAGGAGGCACUGGUAAUUUAAGGCAGAACCAACAACAACAAUCUUAUUAUCAACAACCAGAAUACCAGCAACAACAGGCCGUGCAGCACCCAAAAAUGACCGUCCCUCAAACUCAAACACAAACCCCGCAAACAAGGCCCCAACAACCUCAGGCAUCAACCCCCCCUCCUGUAAGAGCAGCACCUACGAACCUUACAGCAAGAUCAGUUCAAACGCCACAGACCAUUCUGGGCAAACCCUUGGAAGACAUUAAGC